rnacentral:rRNA from 1 species
AAUCAAGCGUUUAAGGGCGUGUAGUGGAUGCCUUGGCACUGAAAGCCGAUGAAGGACGUGAUAUACUGCGAUAAGUUUCGGGGAGCUGUAUGUAAGCUUUGAUCCGAAAAUUUCCGAAUGGGGAAACCCACCACUUUAUGUGGUACUUUAAACUGAAUACAUAGGUUUAAAGAGACAACCUGGAGAACUGAAACAUCUAAGUAACCAGAGGAAAAGAAAUCAAUUGAGAUUCCGUUAGUAGUGGCGAGCGAACGCGGAGUAGGCCAGUAGUUUUGUUAGAAAAAUUUGAAUAGUUUGGAAAUGCUAACCAUAGAGGGUGAUAGUCCCGUAUGAGUAAUGUCUAACAAAAUUCUUGAGUAAAGCGGGACACGAGAAAUCCUGCUCGAAUAUAGGGGGACCACCCUCUAAGCCUAAAUACUCUUCAGUGACCGAUAGUGAACUAGUACCGUGAGGGAAAGGUGAAAAGAACCCCUAUUAGGGGAGUGAAAUAGAACCUGAAACUGCAUGCCUACAAUCAGUCCGAGCCCUUUUUAGGGUGAGGGCGUACCUUUUGUAUAAUGGGUCAGUGACUUAAUUUAUUAAGCAAGCUUAAGCCAUCUAGGUGUAGGCGCAGCGAAAGCAAGUCUUAAUAGGGCGAUUAGUUUAAUGAAUUAGACCCGAAAACGAAUGAGCUUACCAUGAGCAGGUUGAAAGUUGGGUAACACCAACCGGAGGACCGAACCAGUUGACGUUGAAAAGUCUUUGGAUGACUUGUGGUAAGGGGUGAAAGGCCAACCAAAUUCGUAGAUAGCUGGUUUUCCGCGAAAACUAUUUAGGUAGUGCGUCGAAUAAAUAGAUGUUUAGAGGUAGAGCACUAAAUGGGCUAGGGGGAAGAGAUUCUUACCAAACCUAAUAAAACUCCGAAUGCUAGACAUUGUUCUUCGGCAGACAGACUGUGGGUGCUAAGGUCCAUGGUCGAGAGGGAAAGAGCCCAGACCACCAGAUAAGGUCCCAAAAUCAUGAUUAAGUGUGAAAGGAUGUGGAAAUUCCUUAACAGCCGGGAGGUUGGCUUAGAAGCAGCCAUCCUUUAAAGAUAGCGUAACAGCUCACCGGUCUAAUAGAGUUUCUGCGCCGAAGAUGUAACGGGGCUAAAAUCAUGUACCGAAUCUGUGGCUUUGCAAAGUUUUCGAACUUUGUAAGGGGUAGCGGAACGUUCUGUAAGCCUGCGAAGGGAUACCCGUGAGGGAUCCUGGAGGUAUCAGAAGUGCGAAUGCUGACAUAAGUAACGAUAAACGAAGUGAAAAACUUCGUCGCCGAAAAUCUAAGGGUUUCUAUGCAAGGUUAAUCCGCGUAGAGUUAGUCGGCACCUAAGGCGAGGGCGAAAGCCGUAGUCGAUGGAAACAAGGUUAAUAUUCCUUGACCUGAUGGUAGUGACGGAUUUCGUAAGUUGUGAGUUCUUAAUGGAUUGAACUUGCCGCGAAGAGGUCCCAAGAAAUAGCUCCAUCAUGAAGACCGUACCCGAAACCGACACAGGUAGAUUAAUAGAGUAUAUUUAGGCGCUUGAGAGAAUGAUGUUGAAGGAACUCGGCAAAAUGCUUCCGUAACUUCGGGAUAAGGAAGACCUUUUUGUAGGCAACUAUGGAAGGGUGGCACAAGCCAGGGAGAAGCGACUGUUUAUCAAAAACACAGGGCUCUGCUAACACGUAAGUGGAUGUAUAGGGUCUGACGCCUGCCCGGUGCUGGAAGGUUAAUGCGGUUGGUGCAAGCUAACUUCUGAAGCCCCAGUAAACGGCGGCCGUAACUAUAACGGUCCUAAGGUAGCGAAAUUCCUUGUCGGGUAAGUUCCGACCUGCAUGAAU